AUUUUCACCAAUACAAUGUUGCAGUUUCUAAGCUUUCGUCCCUGUCAAUACGAUACAUGCAUCACUGUUAAAACGAUUAUCAUUCCUCUUUGUCUUUGUCUUUCCCUUAAUUUAUGAUUUCUUCUUGGUCUUUUCUUUGCUUCCAACAAUUUUGGGGUUUGUCGGUGCAGUGAUUGUUGAGAUUUCGCAAUGACGCGGACGGUUCACGGUUGUUUCGUCGCACCCAACCAUCGGUUUCAAUGUAUCUAUUUUGAUUGCGAGUUGGAAAACUUAAAGUUUCAUUAGUGAACUUUGAGAACUAAAAUCAUCAAUGGUGCAACGAGAAUAUUGAAGUGAAAGAUUGAUUAUCCAAAAUAGUGGGUGGUGUCAGUGGAACUGCAAGUAUGAAUUCUAUCCUGGAACUUCCAGUUAUAACAGUUAUAGAAGAAUAUGUCAUUGAGGGUAAAGAAAUGCAGAAAUGGCAUUCUUCUGAAAUUCGGCUGUCACCGGGUUCUGAUCGUUGCCCAGCUUCUCUACACACCAAUCUUAUUUUCUUAAUUUGGUUGGAUUUGGAAGGGAAACAAUCACCAACUUUGAAGGCAAUACUUAACAAGGAAACAAUAUGCUUCCUUCAACUCAUCACUGUUCAAGUGGAAAUGAAAAUUCAGAACAACCCCAUUUGAAUUACGUCCAUCACGCUUGAAUAUUGCAGCUAUUACUAUUCGAAAUAAACUUGAGUCAUUGUGUAGGGAGCUACAAUGUCAGAACAAAAUGUUAAUGGUUCUUUAUUUCCCUUUUUAAGGCUACACAGUGUGAGCAACGCCCAAACGCAUUAUUGUGACGUGGCACAGAAAAACGCUGAUAUAACGCAAGGAACACCGCCCCCGCCCGACGUUAUUAGGUGUUACGUUGGUGCGCGUUUUCGUGGCAAUGGGAGGCAAAACCCGUUUUCCUCUCUUUUUCCUCUCUGUUUCUCUUCCUCAUGAUGGCGUCUUCUUGGCAGAACAUCACCCCCUCUUUUCCCGUUUUCAUGGCGUUUUUAUUGCUUGGCCUCAAAAAACACAAGUGGGUGUUGCCCACACCUUACACUCUAAGUAUAGGGUACAUAAUAAUUAUUACAUAAUGUAUUUUGCUUGUAACGAACCGGUGACAAAAAUGCAAGAAACAAAGUGACCCGUGGUUCACCAUGGGUUUACUUACUAGUUAUAA